rnacentral:piRNA from 1 species
UUUUGACUCACAGUUUGAGGGUAAAGUCC